AGCAUAGCAUCAUAUAAAUACAUCUUUUCUUUUCUCCCAGCCGCCCCCUUCCCCAAAUCCUUUUCUCUUCCUCACACGCACAAGAUUUAUUUAUUUAUUUAUUUUUUUCUCAGAGAUUUGCUUUGGCUAAGGACAAGAUCGACGGUCAAGAUUGCGGGAACCAAUACGACGACGAGGAAUACGAAGACUCCUCGUCGUCCUCGACAAGAUCACAGACACUUCCCAUUUUUCUUGAUCAUCUGGUUACAGCUUGGGGUGCUAUUUUGAUUUCAGUGACAUUGAUUCUUCUGUUCGGUGAGGUGAGAUAAUACUGCAAUCUGUUUGUUCUUGAUAUGGUUUGGCAAUCGGGGCAGCAGUUGCUCUAGUUCUCCUUGUUCUCGUCUUUAUCUGCUUUCUUGUUGCAUAUCCAAUCAGCAAGGUAAGAUAUUCAGUCAGAAACUAAUAGUGAAAUCUAGUUCACUUGAUAUGGUAAGAUUAUUUGUAGUGAGUGAACUUGAUUUCACUAUUAGUACUUUGCUAUUGAAUUGAACUAGGUGCUGGAAUUGACUUGUAGUCAGAAACUAUAAUUAGUUUGAGCUAUAACUACUAAAGUAAUGUGUUUUCCUUGGCAAUUUGAAUGGACCCAAUGUUGAAUUAAAUAUAUACCGUGUUUGUAUUGCUUGUAAGUUGCCAUUGUGUCUUACAAUUUAUGAAAUUUCUUUAUGGGGUUAGUUUGAAUUGUUGGCUCGUAGUCUAAGGGAGAGGAACAAUAUCGCAUUCUCUUAGUAGUAGGUGCUAUAGGCAGAAAGCUUGCACUCACAGACAUUCAUUAUGCAGCAAUUUGUAAAUUACUUUAUUAGCUUCAUCAGCGAGUUGCUUUAGUCAUAAUGCUGUUUGCUUUCAGUAUACAGACACGUAAUUGUAUGUGUUUGCUUUGCUUGAUGCAAGUCAUUGAUUUUAAAUCUUUCCCUAUAUUUGUUGCAGCUGCUAUAAUUAACUGGAGUUUAAUCUCUCUAGUUGAUUUGAUAGCUUUUGUAUGUAGUUUAGCAGAUUGAAUUGUAUACUAUUAUUGUUUUACUGUACUUUGCAUGCCAUGUGCAAUUAUGCUUGCGUGUUGUUUAUCAUUUGGAAUCUUUUUCUUGGGUUGGGGGUUGAGGAUGGGUUGAGUUAAUCUAACUUGCUAUCAUGAAUGUUUUGAUAAAUUAAGAAAGAGAGAGAAUCUAUGGCUGAUUUGUUAGGUUUAAACGUAGCAUUCCACAUUACUUCGGGUGUUUCUUGCUGUACAUGGGAUUGACUUAAAAAUUCUUAUUCCUCUCUUCUUUGUUCUCUCUAAAGGAGAUUAGGGGUUUGUUUAGUUGUGUUUUAAGAAAAUAGAUUUUAAAUUUUUUUCCUUAUUUACACAAUAAAAUGUUGCAAACAAACUUUUAUAGGCAUAAGGAAAUAUUUCUUUUUCUUACAUGUGAUGCGACUGACCCUAACUAAUCUAUUGCGAAUCUGUAAUUGACCCCAAAAAAGUAAGGCUUAGUUGUUGUUGGAAUGAAAAUAUCAGGAGGGUGGCUUGCUUUAUGUUGAAGCUGCUUGUCGAUCUUUUGAAAUAGGGAGCUGUUGGGGUCAUUCCGACUGACACUUUGUAUGUUGCACUUCGUGUGUUUGAAUGCACUUUUUUUUGAAAUAGGGAGCUAAUUGCACGCACUUUUUUUUUCUUCAUGUGUUUGAAUCUCAUUGGUUUGUGAGUAGUGGAAAAAAAAAUAGAUCAAUUUGGAAGUUACAACAAUCUGUAUGUAAUUGCCAGGAAGAAUAAGAUAAAAAUUAUGAUCAUAGAAUAACUUAGAAAUAAUGCGCAAAACUCUCAAAAUUUUUGUGAGUUCCACUUAUUAAAAUAAGAAAUAAAAACAUUUUGAAUGGAUAAUGUGAAAUGCAAUUUGCAUAUUAUUGCAAACAAAUCAUUAUAGAUAACCAAUUAACCAUACAUGUAGGACCAUAUGUGUCAAAUUUAUUUAUUUAUUUUUUGCUGUAUUAUGUUGCAUUUUGUUCAUUGUUGUGCUCCUAGGUUCAUUUCAUCAUCUAACUUGAGUUGUUCACAACUUAUUUUUGCUUGGAGCUGAGCUUAGUUAGGAAAACAAAUUUGGAAAUUUUUAUUUAGGAAUAAGUUUUAGGAACUUGUAAAUUGGAAAAAGUUUGGGAUAUUUACUUGUCCUAUAAAAUCCUUCUACCAUUAGUUUGGAAACCUUUGUGGUGUUAUCUAGUUACAUUUAUGGUAAUAUCUUAGGGGAGCUAAAAUAGGACCCAGGAAA